CAGCCGCCACGGGAAUACGAAGGGUGCGAGCGUUAAUCGGAAUUACUGGGCGAAAAGCGCACGCAGGCGGUUUGUUAAGUCAGAUGUGAAAUCCCCGAGCUUAACUUGGGAACUGCAUUUGAAACUGGCAAGCUAGAGUCUUGUAGAGGGGGGUAGAAUUCCAGGUGUAGCGGUGAAAUGCGUAGAGAUCUGGAGGAAUACCGGUGGCGAAGGCGGCCCCCUGGACAAAGACUGACGCUCAGGUGCGAAAGCGUGGGGAGCAAACAGGAUUAGAGACCCCAGUAGUCCCUGUCUCUUAUAC
rnacentral:rRNA from 1 species